rnacentral:sRNA from 1 species
CACAGAGCCCGGGCCACAGGCAGCUCCUUGCCAGCUCUCCUCCUCGCACAGCCGCUCGAACCGCCUGCUGAGCCCCAUGGCCCGCGCCACGCUCUCCACCGCUCCCAGCAAUCCCCGGGUCCUGCGGGUGGCGCUGCUGCUCCUGCUCCUGGUGGCCGCCGGCCGGCGCGCAGCAGGAGCGCCCCUGGCCACUGAACUGCGCUGCCAGUGCUUGCAGACCCUGCAGGGAAUUCACCUCAAGAACAUCCAAAGUGUGAAGGUGAAGUCCCCCGGACCCCACUGCGCCCAAACCGAAGUCAUGUAAGUCUCGCCCAUCGCUGCCGCUGCCACCGCUGGGGUCCCCGACUCUCCCGCUGCCCCAAACCCUGUCCUCAGCCCGACCUCCUGUCUCACGAGAUUCCCUUCUCUCUGCAGAGCCACACUCAAGAAUGGGCAGAAAGCUUGUCUCAACCCCACAUCGCCCAUGGUUAAGAAAAUCAUCGAAAAGAUGCUGAAAAAGUAAGUUAUAAUUUCCAUGUACACAGGCGACUGGAGCUGUUGGUCAGAAAUACUGGCGUCUGCCCCCUAA